rnacentral:misc_RNA from 1 species
GAUGAAGAACGUAGCGAAAUGCGAUAAGUAAUGUGAAUUGCAGAAUUCAGUGAAUCAUCGGAUCUUUGAACGCACAUUGCGCCCGCUAGUAUUCUGGCGGGCAUGCCUGUUCGAGCGUCAUUUCAACCAUCAAGCCCUGUUUAGGCUUGUGUUGGGGCCCUGCGGUUGCCGCAGCCCCCUAAAUGCAGUGGCGGGCUCGUUGUCACUCCGAGCGCAGUAGCGUAUCUCGCUCUGGGCGUGGCGGCGGGUGCUAGCCGUGAAACACCCACUAAGGUUGACCUCGGAUCAGGUAGGAAUACCCGCUGAACUUAAGCAUAUCAAUAAGCGGAGGA